AGUUCUUAACUUGGCCCCCACCAGACAGGAUAAGGUAGUUGUUCACGGUUCUGGCUCUGGGGCCAGACUGUCUGGAUUUGAACUCCUUACUUGCCACUUAUUAGUUUUUUUUUCCCCUAAGAUUUUAUUUAUUUAUUUGACAAACAGAGAUCGCAAGUAGGCAGAGAGAGAGAGGCAAGCAGGCUCCCCGCCAAGCAGAAAGCCUAUUGCGGGGCUUGAUCCCAGGACUCUGAGAUUAUGACCUGAGCCAAAGGCAGAGGCUUUAACCCACUGAGCCACCCGGGUAGCCCACUACUUGUUAGUUCUGUGAACCUAGGUACAUUGCUUAACCUCUUUGUGGCUCAUUUUCCCCAUCUGUAGAAUGGGGAUAAUAAUAAUACCUGUUUUGUAGGGUGUGGUGAGGAUGACUUCAUACAUGUAACAUGUGUAUGAACCCAUAUAAAACCAUUAUAACAGUAAUAAAAUACGUAAGUGUUUAGCACAUAAGUGCCCCCCAAAUGUCAGCAGUUAUUACUAUUAUGGAAAGAUCCUACACCACCCCAUGGACUGGAAUGAAAAGUCUCCAUUACUGCAUCCUCUGUUAUACUGAAAUAAUGCAACUCUAUAUUUUCUGUUCCAGGAGACCAGGCUUGGGCAACACCUGACAUAGGUGGACCAUCACCCCCCUCCUCUCUGCGCCUAUGCUAGGUGUGGCAUGUUCCUGUCUGAGGAAGAUCAUGGCUUGAGAAUCCCACUCAGUACAACCCUCCAGGAAAGUUCCCAGGCACUGAGUCUCCUGAUGGAUCCUGGUUGAUUGAACAACAAACCCCCUCCUCCAGCUUCCUGCCUGGACAAAGCCCCAGCAGGGAACCAUGAGAGAAGAUGUGAUUUAAAAAUCCAGUUCAAGAUUUGGACGGUCUAGCCCCAGACGUUAGGAAUCAGGGAGGAUGGAGGUGGGGAGAAGAGGAGGAGGAAGACAGAGAUGACCCACUUCCUCCUUAUCCCUGCCUCUGACAUCUCAGCUGCCUGGGACCAGGGAGGCCAAGGUGGCGAAGCGGCAGGAGACCAGGAGGAUCCUUCCAGAUUCCUGAGACGCCUGCAUCUUUGUGUUGGGGCCUGAGUGUGAACUUCCGGGAGUGCGAAUGAGACACACGGGUGGAAAUUUGCCUUAAGUAUCUGGACAUGGACAAGGAACUUUUGAUGAGAGAGUGGAAUGGUCCAUGAUUAAUGGAUUGAAAAAUGUUGACUUUGAAUGUUCAGAAAAUAAUUGUCCUGGUUAUCAUUCCCAGUACUUACUAGAGUUGUGACCUUCUUCUCCCGGAUGUAAUUCUCAAUGGCGUCAUUGUUUGGAGCAAACACAGUGUAAGCGCUGGCUGCCUCGAUAGCACUGGCCAGGUUAUAUUGCUGUGAUGGCGAGAGACAAAAAGGUGUGAGAGAUGUCUCUGCGCAUGUACCCCGAGUGAGCGGGCUGUGCAGAGAACAUGGUACUUACAAUGAUG